rnacentral:lncRNA from 1 species
CAAAGGAGAGGAAGGGCUAUUCAAGCUUGAUGAAAUCUACUAAGCGAUUUGCAAGUGUUGAGUCGAGACAUUGAGUUUGGGUUUUGAUUGUUGGUUGAGUCGCCCUCGUUGUUGAUAACUUCUCCUUUUAUUUAUAGAGAAAAUGAGGUGGGUUGAGUGUUCGAAUGAGUAGCCAAUGAGAAAUACCCAUUUUCCAUUGAUUUUGGUGAGUAGGUUGGUGGAAAAAACAAAAACAAAAAAAACAAAACAAAAAAAGCAAAACUAGAAAAAUUGCUUUGGUGUGGUUUCCU